ACCCCCGUGGCGCAAUGAUUUACCGCGUUGGACUUCUAAUUCAAAGGUUGUGGGUUCGAGUCCCAUCAGGGGUG
rnacentral:tRNA from 1 species